UGCCUACAGGAUUGGAGGACGCUUAAUUUAGUACAGGUUAUUCAGGAUCAGGAAUAAUUUGUAUGUAGGCAGUUAAAGCCUAAUCCAAAAAGCUAGAAGGUUAAAAAUAAUCCAAAUUUAGAUGCUUUGGGGGGGCUAGGUGUCUAUGUAUGCACAUUUUGAGUAAGAUUUUUAAAACCUGGUCUCCUUUGUUAUGCUCACAAUUUUCAGCUAAAAGUAAAAGGCACAAUUUUGUUCCCAGAAAUAUUUGUGGAUGUCAUUUGGGCACAGUCUUUUUAAAACAGGCUAAUAUUUUCUCUUUUUGCAAUCAUUUUUUCAGUUUGUUCCAGAAUUAUUCCUUUAAAGAAGGAGGGUUUGAUUCAAUAGAUGCUGUAAAGCAAAUCACUCCUAGAAUAAUAUAUAUUUUGCCACACUUGACUGUGCAUCUUAGAGCUAGGGAUAUUUGCUGUCUUUAUGAAGAAUGCUCUCUUGAAAUAACCCAAGACGUAUGCCUGGUAAGAUCCAUGUGAUCAUCCAGGUUUUGUGGUCUUUAUUGGACUGGAAAUUUUUCAGUUAAACAGACAAUUGCUGAUGGGGACAGUAUUGAGAACAGUGGGAAAUGCUGCAUUCACAUAAACAUUCUCUGUCGGAAGCUCCCAUGACAGAGCUUAUGUUUGUGGGAGACGAAACUUUGGAUACAACACAAUUUCCUGUAGUUAAAUGCAGACUAAACAGAAGCCCUCAGUGGCAGCAUUCCUUGGCUUUUAGGAGUAAUUUAUGUAAUGGAACAUUAACAGCUGCAUUUUAGUGGCUAUGAAAUUAUCAGAAAAUUGGCUCAAGAUAUAUUAAAUAUCUGAGGGCCUACUUUGAUUUUAUUUUCCAGUAAAUGUGUAAAUUUAUGUUAAUUCUUUCUCACUGUUUUGUAUAAUCUUAAUACAAUUAUGGCCUAUUUUAAAAGAAUUGUGUGAGUUUUAUUAGCUCUGAGGGUUUGGUUUAUUUACACUGUAAUGUCUUCAAAGGUGGAAUCAUUUAAUUACAUUGGGAAUUUGGUAGUGUUUCUCAAAAUAUUAAACCAUCUGUAAACA